AAAAGUGAGAGUGAUCUGGCUGGACACCUGUUCCCCAGGCGGGUGUCGCUUGCUCCCUCAACGCUCCACAUGCGUCGCUCCGAAGCUGCGCGCUAGGUAGAGGAGGACGACCAGCCCCCACAGAGGAGGACUGCUCCUGGUCAAGGGCGUACGAGUACCAAACAAGCUCUAAACUGUAAAUAGAAUGGAAAAUACCGUAACAACCGUAGUAGGUCAAAACAAGUCAAAGGCUUGCUCU
rnacentral:sRNA from 1 species